UACGAAGGGGGCUAGCGUUGCUCGGAAUCACUGGGCGUAAAGCGCACGUAGGCGGAUUUCUAAGUCAGGGGUGAAAUCCUGGAGCUCAACUCCAGAACUGCCUUUGAUACUGGGAAUCUCGAGUCCGGGAGAGGUGAGUGAAACUGCGAGUGUAGAGGUGAAAUUCGUAGAUAUUCGCAAGAACACCAGUGGCGAAGGCGGCUCACUGGCCCGGUACUGACGCUGAGGUGCGAAAGCGUGGGGAGCGAACAGG
rnacentral:rRNA from 1 species